UACGGAAGGCAGCAGUGGGGAAUAUUGCACAAUGGGCGAAAGCCUGAUGCAGCUAUGCCGCGUGUAUGAAGAAGGCCUUAGGGUUGUAAAGUACUUUCAUCGGGGAGGAAAAAACAAAACUAAUAAUUUUAUUUCUUGACGUUACCCGAAAAAGAAGCACCGGCUAACUCCGUGCCAGCAGCCGCGGUAAUACGGAGGGUGCUAGCGUUAAUCAGAAUUACUGGGCGUAAAGAGCACGUAGGUGGUUUUUUUAAGUCAGAUGUGAAUCCCUGGGCUUAACCUAGGAACUGCAUUUUGAAACUGAAAUACUAGAGUAUCGUAGAGGGAGGUAGAAUUCUAGGUGUAGCGGUGAAAUGCGUAGAUAUCUGGAGGAAUACCUGUGGCGAAAGCGGCCUCCUAAACGAAUACUGACACUGAGGUGCGAAAGCGUGGGGAGCGAAACAGGGAUUAGAUACC
rnacentral:rRNA from 1 species